rnacentral:rRNA from 1 species
CCUACGGGAGGCAGCAGUGGGGAAUAUUGGGCAAUGGAGGCAACUCUGACCCAGCAACGCCGCGUGAAUGAUGAAGGUCUUCGGAUUGUACAGUUCUGUGAUGGGGGAUGAACACAAUGACGGUACCCCAAUAGCAAGCCACGGCUAACUACGUGCCAGCAGCCGCGGGAAUACGUAGGUGGCAAGCGUUAUCCGGAAUGACUGGGCGUAAAGGGUGCGUAGGUGGUUUAGUAAGUUGGCGGUGUAAUUCCGGGGCUCAACCUCGGCGCUACCGCCAAAACUAUUAGACUAGAGUGCAGGAGGGGUAAGUGGAAUUCCUAGUGUAGCGGUGGAAUGCGUAGAUAUUAGGAGGAACAUCAGGGGCGAAGGCGACUUACUGGACUGUAACUGACACUGAGGCACGAAAGCGUGGGGAGCAAACAGGAUUAGAUACCCUGGUAGUC